CCGGACCGCGGCCGGGCACUGCGCCAGCUCCGCCUGUACCGCGCUCCUCAGAGGUGUCCAGCGACAGGACGAGGAGCAAUGGCCAUAAACUGAAGGACAAGUUUCACCUCAGCGUGAGGGAGAACUUCUUCACACUGAGGGUGGCAGAGCACUGGGAGAGCUGCCCAGGGAGGCUGUGGGGUCUCCCCGUCUGAAGACACUCGGAACCCACCCGGACGCGUUCCGUGUCCCCUGCUCCAGGUGGCCGUGCCUCCCAGCCCGGGCAGUGCUGACUCGGUGACCGUGUCCGGACGCGGGCACUGAGGGGAGCAGGCCCGGCCAGCUCCGCUCCCGAGCCCCGGGCCAGCAGCCGCCACAGCGAUGCACGCCCGCAUCCCGCUGUGGCACUCGGCAGGGCCCCUCUGAAUCCCCAGGGACCUGCUCUGGCGCUGGGCCGGAGCUGAGGGUGUUUUCUCGGAGUCUCCACAGCAUCCCUCUGCGAAUUACAUUCCUGAAUGCCGUGUCAUCCUGCUAGGUGAUCACCUCACCUCUCCCUGUUGCUUGAGGUGCUCCAACGCAACAAAGCCCCAAACAUCAAAAGUUUGACCAUUAUAGCAAGGGACAGCACUGGACUCAGUCACAUUCCAUCAUACAGCCAGAUUUACGAGGACAAAUCAUGAUUUCUGUGCCAUUGUGCAAAUAAUACAUAGAUCCACCCCUAAAGUUUAAUGUAGGAUUCAAUGUGUACUAUUUAAAAGCUCACUGAGGUUUCUCCAAGAACAUUUCUUAUGCUGGAUGAUAAACACAGUUGGUUCCUCAGGCCUUUUAUUAGAAACCUCUAGAUAUUUUUAGGGCAGCUAGGUGAUAGUGACUAUUUUGUAUAUAAAGAAACACAUAUCUUAGAGCAAUUCUGACAGGCUUUGCUAAUAAUUAUGCAAAUUUGAGAUAGCAGCUAAUCUUUCUCACUAUAGCAAAAGUAAAAAGCUGUCCUAAUGUAAUGAUACUGCACUACAAUCAGCUAGGUAUCAGUGUUUACUGUAAUAGCUGUGUGCUCAGUGUGGUGUUGUUAAUUUUGCCCUGGUGUUAGCAUCAAGGCAUCAAGGCACAUUCCAUGUACAUGCAAAGGUCCUUCAUGGAAACACCUUUUUGUGGUUUGUGAUCUUUUAAUCUGAAUUAUUAAUUCUCAAAAUUGUUAACUUGAUGAAACAGCCUGAUAUACAUAAUAAAGUCUCACUUUAUCAAAAUACCAAAAGCAGUAUUUCCAGCCCAAUAGGGCAGAUGUUUUCUUUAUGAAGUUACUGCAGUUGCAGGUAUUGUACCACAAUUGUCCUCUCAAAGACUUCAGAGGUCCCAAAGGAAGUGGGAUGUAUUUUUUAACUUUUUAAAAUUUAAUUUCUAACAAAUAUUCUCCCUCCACAUAAUUUUGGAGACAGUGAUUCAGACAGAUGGUUAUUAUAGAAAAUUACAUACCAAAAUGGAAGGAAAAAAUAGGGUGCAUGAUACCAAUCCAUGAACAUACCUCUCUUACUCUUCAAUUUCUGGAAGUAAUCAUUUCCAUAAAAGCCAGCCAUGGGUGCAGAGUUGGAUAUUCCCCUUAUUUAAUGCAAAUUGUGCAUCAUUAUAUAUGCUUUCAGUGUACCUGCAGUUGCAAAUUACUUCAGAUCUUAAAAUUUUGUUUUGAACCUGUCUUUA